rnacentral:rRNA from 1 species
GAAUGUGUGGUGUAGCGGUGAAAUGCUUUAGAUAUCACACAGAACACCGAUUGCGAAGGCAGCACACUAAGUCAUUAUUGACGCUGAGGCACGAAAGUGUGGGGAUCAAACAGGAUUAGAUACCCUGGUAGUCCACACUGUAAACGAUGAUAACUCGCUGUCGGCGAUACACAGUCGGUGGCCAAGCGAAAGCAUUAAGUUAUCCACCUGGGGAGUACGACCGCAAGGUUGAAACUCAAAGGAAUUGACGGGGGCCCGCACAAGCGGAGGAACAUGUGGUUUAAUUCGAUGAUACGCGAGGAACCUUACCCGGGCUCGAACGGUGCAUGAAUAUACGAGAGAUUGUAUAGUCCUUCGGGACAUGUAUCGAGGUGCUGCAUGGUUGUCGUCAGCUCGUGCCGUGAGGUGUCGGCUUAAGUGCCAUAACGAGCGCAACCCUUGUCAUUAGUUGCCAUCAGGUCAAGCUGGGGACUUUAAUGAGACUGCCACCGUAAGGUGUGAGGAAGGGGGGGAUGACGUCAAAUCAGCACGGCCCUUAUGUCCGGGGCGACACACGUGUUACAAUGGGAGGUACAGAGGGCAGCUAUCCGGUGACGGAAUGCUAAUCUCCAAAACCUUUCUCAGUUCGGAUUGGAGUCUGCAACUCGACUCCAUGAAGGUGGAUUCGCUAGUAAUCGCGCAUCAGCCAUGGCGCGGUGAAUACGUUCCCGGGCCUUGUACACACCGCCCGUCAAGCCAUGGAAGCUUGGGGUGCCUGAAGUUCGUGACCGCAAGGAGCGACCUAAGGCAAAACCAGGUAACUGGGGCUAAGUCGUAACAAGGUAACCNAAAGGGCGAAUUCGUAACCCG